AUGAACGCUGGCGGCGUGCUUAACACAUGCAAGUCGAACGAAGCAGCUUCUGCUGCAAGAGAGUUGACUUAGUGGCGGACGGGUGAGUAACGCGUGGGUAACCUGCCUCAUACAGGGGGAUAACAGUUGGAAACGACUGCUAAGACCGCAUAACCCGCUAGUGUCGCAUGACACGGACGGAAAAUAUUUAUAGGUAUGAGAUGGGCCCGCGUCUGAUUAGCUAGUUGGUAAGGUAACGGCUUACCAAGGCGACGAUCAGUAGCCGACUUGAGAGAGUGAUCGGCCACAUUGGGACUGAGACACGGCCCAAACUCCUACGGGAGGCAGCAGUGGGGAAUAUUGGACAAUGGGGGAAACCCUGAUCCAGCCGACGCCGCGUGAGUGAAGAAGUAUUUCGGUAUGUAAAGCUCUAUCAGCAGGGAAGAUAAUGACAGUACCUGACUAAGAAGCCCCGGCUAACUACGUGCCAGCCGCCGC
rnacentral:rRNA from 1 species